GCGGUAGCAGCGCAAGAUUGCAAUAUGAAACUAUCAGUGGUUUUCUUGGUCUUGAUGAUAGUAGUAUGUGCAAUGUCCCAGGAAUCUGAAUCCCUUUUUCGCUAUAUUCGCAGAGAUAGCCGAAGAAGAACAACAACAAUAAGAAUAACCAACAACAACAACAACAUCAUCACCUAGAACGUUGCCAUCAUAGUUAGUCGAUGCCAUUACAUAGCGGCGUAAUAACCAGUGAUAAAUUGAACCUUAUGCCUAUCUAGUCAUGAAAUAGAAAAGUUGUAUGUUACAGAACUGUUGUCUAAUUUUUGGUCAGUUGUUAAUCGGUAAUGUAACGCUUCUCACUUCUCCUAGUAUCUAUACAAAAAAUUAGUUAAAGCUAGGAAUAAAAGAUUAAUUAGUAAGUAGUCUAUCCUAGACCAGACAGCGGCUAAAUAGCAAAUAAAAA